rnacentral:lncRNA from 1 species
CAAGGGUAAGAGAAAAGGCUAAGGGAGCAGAGAAGUAGGAGCAGGUGUUUUCAUCUUUUCUUUGUGAGUCAACUAUUUGGCUGGGCUUUAAUGGGUACUUCCAGAGUUGGACCAGUAGAGAAGGCAUCCCAGGAAGAGGGAAGGCUUGAACAGAGAGACACAGGGGAGGGAACUAACAGUGGAGCGGAGGCUCAGUGCUGACUCUGCGCCAGGAGGGGAUUUGCUAAAAGCUUUCAGAGAAGAAAGAGAAUGACACAGACAAGGAUGAGGGACCCUGCUCAUUGUGUGGGCAAGAGAUGGUAAUUCAUACAAACUGAAGUUAGAAAGACAGGGUGUGCUCGCCUUGUAGAGGUUUCAGUCUGUGGCAAGACCCAGUCGCCACUUUGUGCUGAUCCUAGGGAAGCUGGAUUCAAAGUUGGGGUCCUGAGAAGUGAUGGGACUCAGGAGAUGGGAUUCAGAUGGAGACUCACCAAGAGAAGGACAUAACGAGAGGUGGAGAGAGGGAAGAAAAAGCACGGGUGAUGAUCAAAACUGGACUGAAAAUAGUUUUGCUGAAUCAUCUCACCAAGAUGGGUCAUCAAGCCAGAGCAAUUGAAUUCAACAAAAUUUAAAAAGCCAUCACCUAAAGUAAUC